rnacentral:rRNA from 1 species
UACGUAGGGUGCAAGCGUUGUCCGGAAUUAUUGGGCGUAAAGAGCUCGUAGGCGGUCUGUCGCGUCUGGUGUGAAAACUCGGGGCUUAACUCCGGGCCUGCAUCGGGUACGGGCAGACUAGAGUGUGGUAGGGGAGACUGGAAUUCCUGGUGUAGCGGUGAAAUGCGCAGAUAUCAGGAGGAACACCGGUGGCGAAGGCGGGUCUCUGGGCCAUAACUGACGCUGAGGAGCGAAAGCAUGGGGAGCGAACAGG